GCCGAAGUGGCGGAAUUGGUAGACGCGCUAGGUUCAGGGUCUAGUGGGGGUUUCUCCGUGGGAGUUCGAGUUCGAGUCUCCCCUUCGGCACCA
rnacentral:tRNA from 1 species